rnacentral:rRNA from 1 species
GAUGAACGCUGGCGGCGUGCUUAACACAUGCAAGUCGAACGAAACACCUUAUUUGAUUUUCUUCGGAACUGAAGAUUUGGUGAUUGAGUGGCGGACGGGUGCGUAACGCGUGGGUAACCUGCCCUGUACAGGGGGAUAACAGUCAGAAAUGACUGCUAAUACCGCAUAAGACCACAGCACCGCAUGGUGCAGGGGUAAAAACUCCGGUGGUACAGGAUGGACCCGCGUCUGAUUUGCUGGUGGGUGAGGUAACGGCUCACCAAGGCGACGAUCAGUAGCCGGCUUGAGAGAGUGAACCGCCACAAUGGGACUGAGACACGGACCAAACUCGUACGGGAGGCAGCAGUGGGGAAUAUUGCAGAAUGGGGGAAACCCUGAUGCAGCGACGCCGCGUGAGUGAAGAAGUAUUUCGGUAUGUAAAGCUCUAUCAGCAGGGAAGAAAAUGACGGUACCUGACAAAGAAGCCCCGGCUAACUACGUG